rnacentral:rRNA from 1 species
UUGUUCCUACGGGACGCAGCAGUGGGGAAUAUUGGGCAAUGGGCGCAAGCCUGACCCAGCAACGCCGCGUGAAGGGAGAAGGCUUUCGGGUUGUAAACUUCUUUUCUUGGGGACGAGGAAAGUGACGGUACCCAAGGAAUAAGCCACGGCUAACUACGUGCCAGCAGCCGCGGUAAUACGUAGGUGGCAAGCGUUAUCCGGAUUUAUUGGGUAAAGGGCGUGUAGGCGGGGUUGCAAGUCAGAU